rnacentral:lncRNA from 10 species
AGAGGAGGCGCCGAGAGCAAGCGAGGGCUGUGAGGACUGCCAGCACACUGUCACCUCUUACUACUUUCCCAUAAAUUCUUUGGCAUAUGAAGAAAGGGAAAGAGAGAGAAAGAAGAAAAGAAAGGGACAAAAGAGGGAAGAGAGGAAAAGAGGAAAACAUCAACACAGAAGCAGAAAGGGUCCUCUCCCCAUGGCCACCGCAGCUAGGAAUAUGCGGAGUCACACUUGAAGCCAGCACAGCACUGGGUCACACCCAAGGCUUGCAGUCCAGGACUUGGUUUCCAAGAAGCCCCUGUACAUGG